GACGAACGCUGGCGGCGUGCUUAACACAUGCAAGUCGAACGGAAAGGCCCUUCGGGGUGCUCGAGUGGCGAACGGGUGAGUAACACGUGGGUGAUCUGCCCUGCACUUUGGGAUAAGCCUGGGAAACUGGGUCUAAUACCGAAUAGGACCGCGCUCUUCAUGGGGUGUGGUGGAAAGCUUUUGCGGUGUGGGAUGGGCCCGCGGCCUAUCAGCUUGUUGGUGGGGUAAUGGCCUACCAAGGCGACGACGGGUAGCCGGCCUGAGAGGGUGACCGGCCACACUGGGACUGAGAUACUGCCCAGACUCCUACGGGAGGCAGCAGUGGGGAAUAUUGCACAAUGGGCGCAAGCCUGAUGCAGCGACGCCGCGUGAGGGAUGACGGCCUUCGGGUUGUAAACCUCUUUCAGUACCGACGAAGCGCAAGUGACGGUAGGUACAGAAGAAGGACCGGCCAACUACGUGCCAGCCGCCGCCGUAAUAC
rnacentral:rRNA from 1 species